GAGCUAGUGUGAGUACGACCUUCUGGUGCAGUCAGCUUCAAUUUCUACCACGGAACGAUUUGAUAGCGCAUUCGCUUCGAAACUUCACCUCAUAAAACAACCAGCGACAGACGCAAUGAAUUUCUCACGGGUGCUGAUGGUGCUCUUGGUGGCAGUGGUGGCCAUUUGUUCGGCAGCUCCACAACUCAUCACCACACGACGCAGGUUCCCAGGACAACGACGUCUCACUCCCACACGCUGUCCUUCUUCUCCUAGCCAAACAGACGACUAAACUUCAAAGCUGCACUUACAAGGAUGAAGAAUGAACUCCUGGAACAAGUUUUCAUGGAGUAUGACACAACUGGAAAAAUAACGCUAGUUAGUCGUCUGAAGAGAAAAUGACUCAACAGUUAUUGUUAAGGCUAAAUUAUAAUAGUUUUACCAGUGUUAUAGUCUCAAUAGUAAUAGCGGAUUUACUCUGAAAGUGUUCAGUAAAAUUUUUGAAAAUUUAGCAGGAUCGAUCUUUACUUACCUCUUAAGCACAUAAAACAUUAUU
rnacentral:lncRNA from 1 species